rnacentral:lncRNA from 1 species
UUUGCCCAGAAUUGAGCCGUCCCGGUCAAACUGAACUUAAGGGCAAAAGAAGGGAAGAUAGUGUAGUGGACCUUACGGGCAGGACUAGUGCAAAAAAAAUUGCAAAAAAUGGGAAAUCUGAUCCCACAAUAGAGAAAAAGUCCAUAAAUAAAAAGAAAGAAAAAGAAAGAAAAAGAAAGAGAAAAAAAAAAAGAAGGAAAGAAGAAUGGGAAGAAUGUGCUUAGGCCCACAAGAAUAGGCAAGGAAUUGAAAAAUCUGGGAAAUCUAUUGCCCAGAAUGAAGUUCAGAAUGACCUUAGCCUCGUACCCAAAAUUCUCACCUUAUGCCUUAAGCCACAUUACAACCCAUAAAAGACCUAAUGAGAUACACCUAAGGC